UAGGGGAGCGAAAGGGAUUAGAUACCCCUGUAGUCCUAGCUGUAAACGAUGGAUACUAGGUGUUGGGCGUAUCGACCCGUCCAGUACCGUAGCUAACGCGUUAAGUAUCCCGCCUGGGGAGUACGCACGCAAGUGUGAAACUCAAAGGAAUUGACGGGGGCCCGCACAGGCGGUGGAGGAUGUGGUUUAAUUCGAUGCAACGCGAAGAACCUUACCAAGGCUUGACAUCCUGCGAAUCCUUCAGAGAUGAGGGAGUGCCUUCGGGAGCACAGAGACAGGUGGUGCAUGGCUGUCGUCAGCUCGUGUCGUGAGAUGUUGGGUUAAGUCCCGCAACGAGCGCAACCCUCGUUCUUAGUUGCCAUCAUUAAGUUGGGCACUCUAGGGAGACUGCCGUGGACAACACGGAGGAAGGUGGGGACGACGUCAAGUCAUCAUGCCCCUUACGUCUUGGGCUACACACGUCCUACAAUGCUACAGACAGAGGGCAGCGAGCGCGCGAGUGCAAGCAAAUCCCAUAAACUGUGGCACAGUUCAGAUUGCAGGCUGCAACUCGCCUGCAUGAAGGCGGAAUCGCUAGUAAUCGCCGGUCAGCAUACGGCGGUGAAUACGUUCCCGGGCCUUGUACACACCGCCCGUCACACCAUGGGAGUUGGCCACGCCCGAAGUCGUUACUCUAACCUUAGGGAGGAGGGCGCCGAAGGCAGGGCUGAUGACUGGGGUG
rnacentral:rRNA from 1 species